rnacentral:rRNA from 1 species
GUUUGCUUGCAAACUGGAGAUGGCGACCGGCGCACGGGUGAGUAACACGUAUCCAACCUGCCGAUAACUCGGGGAUAGCCUUUCGAAAGAAAGAUUAAUACCCGAUGGUAUAAUCAGACCGCAUGGUCUUGUUAUUAAAGAAUUUCGGUUAUCGAUGGGGAUGCGUUCCAUUAGGCAGUUGGUGAGGUAACGGCUCACCAAACCUUCGAUGGAUAGGGGUUCUGAGAGGAAGGUCCCCCACAUUGGAACUGAGACACGGUCCAAACUCCUACGGGAGGCAGCAGUGAGGAAUAUUGGUCAAUGGGCGCAGGCCUGAACCAGCCAAGUAGCGUGAAGGAUGACUGCCCUAUGGGUUGUAAACUUCUUUUAUAUGGGAAUAAAGUUUUCCACGUGUGGAAUUUUGUAUGUACCAUAUGAAUAAGGAUCGGCUAACUCCGUGCCAGCAGCCGCGGUAAUACGGAGGAUCCGAGCGUUAUCCGGAUUUAUUGGGUUUAAAGGGAGCGUAGGUGGACAGUUAAGUCAGUUGUGAAAGUUUGCGGCUCAACCGUAAAAUUGCAGUUGAUACUGGCUGUCUUGAGUACAGUAGAGGUGGGCGGAAUUCGUGGUGUAGCGGUGAAAUGCUUAGAUAUCACGAAGA